rnacentral:rRNA from 1 species
AGCAGCCGCGGUAAUUCCAGCUCCAAUAGCGUAUAUUAAAGUUGUUGCAGUUAAAAAGCUCGUAGUUGAAUUUCGGGGUUAGUAGGUUGGUCAUGCCUCUGGUAUGUACUGGUCUCACUGAUUCCUCCUUCCUGAUGAACCGUAAUGCCAUUAAUUUGGUGUUGCGGGGAAUUUGGACUGUUACUUUGAAAAAUUAGAGUGUUUAAAGCAAGCUAACGCUUGAAUACAUUAGCAUGGAAUAAUGAAAUAGGACGUUCGAUCCUAUUUUGUUGGUUUCUAGGAUUGACGUAAUGAUUAAUAGGGAUAGUUGGGGGCAUUAGUAUUCAAUUGUCAGAGGUGAAAUUCUUGGAUUUAUUGAAGACUAACUACUGCGAAAGCAUUUGCCAAGGAUGUUUUCAUUAAUCAAGAACGAAAGUUAGGGGAUCGAAGACGAUCAGAUACCGUCGUAGUCUUAACCAUAAACUAUAGCCGACUAGGGAUCGGAUGAUGUUAAUUUUUAAUGUACUCAUUCGGCGCCUUA